GAAAACUGAGGUUCAGAGAAGUUAUGUGGCUUAUGUAACAUCACCAGCUACAAAGAAGCCAUACAGGGAUUCUUAAAGAGGGAGCUGCAUGUUGUCUCCUGCAUGUUCAAUGUCCUUUGAUCCUGUGCACUAAAUAGCAGUGGAGACCCCCUCUCACUCAUCCAUCCACCCAAUCAUUUUGACAACCAGAUGCAUUUCCAAACUCCUCUGGGGGCGGGAGUGGUAGGGAGGGAGAAAGGACAAUAACACACACGCACACAUACACACACACAGUUUGAAAGAAAAAAUAACCUAUCCAUCUGCUCCCUCCCUGAAUUAAUUUGUUCAUGGAGCACUUCCUCUUGGCCGGGCACUUGCUUGAUGUUGAGGAUACAAAGAAGAAUCAAACCCAGUGUCUAACCUCAAGGACCUCCCAGUCAGGUAGACUCUUUUGGUUGCAAGAAAAAGAUCCACUCAACCUAGCUCAACUGAGAAAUCUCCUCAAAGGUAUCUCAAGGAACACAAAGAUUUGAAACUCCUUUAAAUUUGAAGAGUCUGGAUUUAACUGACAAGGAAACAUGUGAGAAGCAAUGGAAAUGGAUUGUAAAUGUCAGCAUCAUGUUUGAUCAUACCAAGCACUGAAGAUAAAUUCCUUCUGUAUUAUGGUUCUGCUGAGAAAGAAAAUCCCAGUUGGGACACCAAUCCUGAUCACCUGGACUUCGUCCCAAAAAGUAUGUCUGAAAUGGGCCUCAAUGAGGAGAAAAUUGUAAGAUCACCAAUCCUGUAUCCUUUGUAUCUUUAAGGGUGACACUACCCUAUCCUGUUGUUUAUUGUUUUAUUGUUUUUGGUUUACUAUCUCAGCUGGCAGAGCUGGACAAAGGGAGCAGUUUUCACUUGGCCUUCCCCAUACAAUAGCUCCUACCCCACAGUUUAAGGACUCAACUACUGAGCAUAUCAGUCCUAAUUAUACAUCUGGGGACGAGGAAAAUAACCACUGCAUGAGGGGCAGGGGUCUGCAGAUGCAGUGGGCUCCACUUAUUACCUGCUCAUCAUAUACCCCCAGUCUAGAAGGAGGAUCAGGGUGACACUAUAGAUCUCUGGGUGACAACAUCCACUUGGACACUAAGGCCAACAUUCCUCAUAAUGUUUGGGUCCCCUCUUUCGCCAAUGUACAGUCACCCUAGUUAGUGGCUGUAGGCCCAUUUGGAGAAGGACUGGGAGAAUUGUUUGCAUGUAUACCUGACAUAGUGUUGCAGAGUCUUUUCUUGGAAACCUGACCUGUCCUUCAGUUAGUGCAUUCUGAAUCUAAAAACUGGCUCAGAUCUGAAAUCCUUAUAAUAAUAUAAUAAUAAUAAGCAAGAAAUCCUUAUUGUUUUUUAUUGAAGUCCUCCCUGAGCCUUCCUCUGGUCAUCCAUUCAUGAUUUCUUCUGGCGGUACAAGCUGAAUAGUGCUCAUGUUGGCUCCAUAUCUGCUUUGCCUCCAGGGAUGCCAGGUUUUAUGAACAGUCUCCCUAACUCUCAGAGGUCCUAUACUCCAACUCCUGCCAAUACUUUAACUUGGUAGUCACAAUGAUCAUUGCAUUCACCCGACACUUAGCAAUAGUCACCUAACUCCAUUGUUCUCGUAGUUCUCACUUUCUCCACACUUCUCAAAAACCUGAUGCAUGACACUGAGUAAUGCAUUCCUUUCCACUCCAUCCCACUUCUUCAUUGGUAAGAGUUUUAAUAACCAACCCUACCACCUUGUGCCACAGGCUGGCUGUGCUCCACCAACGACUAGUGAUAAAAUCCUCAUUACCAGCCAGAUGGCAAGCGAUCCAACUCCCAUGCCCUAUCUUAUUGCCUGCCUUAUCAAACCACUCCUAGCACCAACUGUCACAGGUUGGGUUCUCUGGAAGCAAAUGCUGGAACAGAGUUAGAAGUGCAGAAAUGAUUCAUGCAGGAUGAACCCCUGUGGAAAGGAGGAGGAGGAAGUAGGAUGGGGCACAGGGAGAAGUUGAAUUGCAAUGCAGGCUCAUAAAAACUUGGCCAAUAUAUAGCACUAUGACAAGUAGAAUUAUAUCACAGGGGAACCAAAGUAGCCAGGCCUUUCUCCCCUGCCAUGAUCAGUUGCUGGAUGUUGGCCACCUCAGGAAGGGUGUGUCAUUGGGCAAGAAGGCUUUCUGCAGCUUAGGCAAACCCUGAAGAAGCUGGGAGCAGAAGGCUGUCUAUGGACAGUAUUCCCAGCACCUCCUGAAAAAAGUUCUUCCUUCAAAAAUAUCUGACUGAUGUAUCUUUGUGUGCAUCACAAACAUGCUACAAAGCAAAAGACAACUACUAUAUGUAACAUUAUAGUCAAAUAUAAUACUGAAUAGAAGCAGCCAGACCGAAAUGAAUAUAUACCAUAAGAUUCGAUAAGGUUCAGAACUCAGGCAAAACCGAUUGAAAUGUUGGAAUUCAGAAUAGCCUUCUCUUUCAAAAGGGCAUGUGGACUGGAGGGAGUCCAAGGAAGCUUUCUGGGGUGCUGGUCCUGCUUCACUACUUAAUCUCAUGCUGGUUGCGUGGGUGUAUUCACUUUGUAAAAAUGCAUCAAGCUCUCCAGAUACAAGUUGUACCCUUUUUAAAUAUUCAUAUUGUAUUUCAAUAAAGUGUGUUUAUC